GACGAACGCUGGCGGCGUGCCUAAUACAUGCAAGUCGAACGCUUCUUUCCUCCCGAGUGCUUGCACUCAAUUGGAAAGAGGAGUGGCGGACGGGUGAGUAACACGUGGGUAACCUACCCAUCAGAGGGGGAUAACACUUGGAAACAGGUGCUAAUACCGCAUAACAGUUUAUGCCGCAUGGCAUAAGAGUGAAAGGCGCUUUCGGGGGUCGCUGAUGGAUGGACCCGCGGUGCAUUAGCUAGUUGGUGAGGUAACGGCUCACCAAGGCCACGAUGCAUAGCCGACCUGAGAGGGUGAUCGGCCACACUGGGACUGAGACCCGGCCCAGACUCCUACGGGAGGCAGCAGUAGGGAAUCUUCGGCAAUGGACGAAAGUCUGACCGAGCAACGCCGCGUGAGUGAAGAAGGUUUUCGGAUCGUAAAACUCUGUUGUUAGAGAAGAACAAGGACGUUAGUAACUGAACGUCCCCUGACGGUAUCUAACCAGAAAGCCACGGCUAACUACGU
rnacentral:rRNA from 1 species